ensembl:lncRNA
CUGCUCUUCAGAGCUUUCUGACCCAGAAACUCCCUGGCAGGCUGCUGAACAAAAUCAUUCAGCCAGUGAGGUAAACCCUGCCAAUCUCCCUGCUCUGACAGCUCUGAUCCCCUCCUCCCUCUCUGAGUCCUGAUCCCAAGUCCAGGGGUGAGGACAUCUCAAGCUACGUGUGCUUUCCUUACUCAGACAAUGAAUCACUUGGACACACUACACACAGUGUUGAAGAUUAAACCCAGCCUCUUCACACUGAACUACAUCUCCAGGCCUUUUUCAUUUUUUUUUGAGACUAGGGUUAAGUUUCUGAGCUGCCCUAAGUCUUUGACUUGAACUUGUGAUCCUCCUGCUUCAGCCUCCCACAGUGUUGGGUUACAGAUGUGCACCAUCAUGCCCAGCUCAACUUUGUAUACUGAUUUUUGUGUGUGUGUGUGUGUGUGUGUGUGUGUGAUGCUGACAAAUAAACCCAGGGCCUUACAUGUGCUAGGCAAGUGCUCUACCACUGAGCUACCGUCCUAGCCACUGUGUACUGAAUUUUGUUAAAGUAUUACUAAAUACUGUUACAAGUUACAAUUUUUACAUAUUCAGGGCUUUCCUGAAGAAAUAAUACUGUACCUGUACAGUAGUAAAAGUGCAGAAGCAGUAAAAGUGCCAUACUUUCCUUACUAGUCCUAAAUGGCAUUUUUUCGUCUUUACUAAUCACUGAUCUGGCUGUCACAGAUUUCACAUGAUUCAGUCUUUUUUCUCUUCUUUUCAUCAGUUAGGGGAGGCUUUGUCUUGGAUGACUUAAGAAUCUAUUAGUGGGCCAGGGAUUUAGCUCAGUGGUUCUGCCGCCUGCCUUGAAAGCACAAGAUUCCAAGUUCAAUCCCCAGUACCAAAAAAAAAAAAAUCUACUAGCUGAGCAUGGUGGCACAUGCCAGUAAUCCCAACACUCGGGAGGUUCAACCAGGAGGAUUGUUGUGAGUUCAAGGCUAUGUGGUUCUGAACUACAUAGACAGAAGCUGUCUCAAACAACAACAAUAACAAAAGUAAGCAAGACUUAAAAAUAUGUAAUUAUACUUGUAAGAAUGUAUUAAGUUUUUAAAAAUUCAUUACAAAGAAAUUGGGUUUAGGGCUGGGGGUGUAGCUUAGUGAUACCCUGCUUGCCUGGCAUGCAUGAGGCCCUGGUCCCCAGCACUGCAGAAAAAAAGAAAAAGAAAAAUUGGGCUUGAUUAGUAUAGUGCAUUUCUAUUUUGUAACUUAUGGCAGUUAGGUGGUUCUACCUUAGCAAAUUACCACAGAUUGUUUGCCUUAAAUAAAUUUAUUUUCUCAGUAUUGUGGAAACUGAAAUUGUGCAAUAGAUUUUUGUUUUUCUUUGUUUGCUUAUCUGUUUUUUGUUUUUGGUACCAGGGAUCGAACUCAGGACCUUGCACUUGAGAGGCAGGGAUUGGCACCACUGAGCUAAAUCUCCCGCCUUGCUUAUGUGUUUUUUCAGUGCUGUGCUUGGAACCCAGGCCCUUGAGUGUGCUAGGCAAGUGUGGUCUACCACUGAGCUGCUUGCCAGCACUUUUUUUUUUGGUACUGGGGAUCGAACUCAGGUCCUUGCACUUGCAAGGCAGGUGGUGGAACCACUGAGCUAAAUCCCCAGCCCUUGCCAGUGCUUCUGUCUGUUGUCCCUUUUUUCCCUUCAGUACUAGGGAUUGAACCCAGGACAUUCUUACUGAGCUACAUCCUCAGCCCUUUUUUUUAUUUUGAGACAGCGUCUUGCUAAGUCACUGAGUUGCCCAGGCUGGGCUUGAAUUUGUGAUCCUCCUGCCUCAACCUCCUAGAGUGCUGGGAUUAUAGCCUUAUACCACCACACCCAGCACCAUGUGUUCUUUACAAGGCACUAAUCGUGAAAGUCAGACCUCACAAUUUCAUCUAACCCUUAUUACCUCUACAAAGUUCAUUUACAAAUACAAUGAUCACAGGGUGUUAGGGCUCCAAAGUGGGAAUGCAGCAGGAACAAAAUUCACUCCAUAAAAUAUUCUAUUUUAUUUUUACCUCCACUAUAGUGGUGGUUUUUUGUUGGUGAUGUUACUUUUUAGUUUUAUAAUUGCUUUAUCAUGUUAAAUCAAUGCUUCACUUUGGAGACUUAGGGUUUUUCCUAUUGUAUAACCAUUUGAG